rnacentral:rRNA from 1 species
AGGACGAACGCUGGCGGCACGCUUAACACAUGCAAGUCGAACGUGAAACUCGGAGCUUGCUCCGGGUGGAAAGUGGCGAACGGGUGAGUAACACGUGAGGAACCUGCCCCGAAGACUGGGAUAACACCGGGAAACCGGUGCUAAUACUGGGUGCCCUCUCUGGAUCGCAUGAUCCGGCGAGGAAAUGGAUUCCGCUUCGGGAUGGCCUCGCGGCCCAUCAGCUUGUUGGUGGGGUAACGGCCUACCAAGGCAACGACGGGUAGCUGGUCUGAGGAGAUCGUACCACGCC